UUGAGAAAAUGCCUUAGCAGCUGAAUCUCAUGGAGGUAUUUCCUCAGUUGAGGCUCCUUCCUCUGAUGACUCUAGCUUGUGUCAAGUUGACACACAACCAGCCAGUUCACAAUCUCACUGGUGUGGGUCAGUGCUUCUUCCAGAAUAAUUCCUUCAGUAUUUCUGGAGCACCCCUUUUCCCGCUCAACACGAUUCCCCCUCACCAAAACUCCAGUGAGUCUGGAGAGACUGAUGCUCCUGGGCCUCUCAGCCCACUGGGGGUUCCUGGAACCCAGGAAGCCUGCGCUCUUCCUGGAAUUCUGGGGUUCCCUUCCAGUGGCCAAGGGGACUGUGAGACUCAGGACUGGAGUCUCCAAGUAGAAGAAGAUGAGAUUUGGCUAGACAUCCAGACUAGGUAAGGACCCCUGGGGAAGAGUUGGUGAGCCCGAUUCCCAGGGAAGUGAUUGCAUUUGAAGCCUCAGUGAGACAUGGAGGUGACACUGCUCUCCAAGGAAAAGCCUCCAAGGGACACUGAGGCACUGGUACUGGUCUCCAGAGAAAUAGACUAGGAAUUUAAAAUGCAAAUGUAUAACUUCUGAAUGAGUGGUGAAUGAGUGUGUGAAUGCGUGCAAUGGUCCCAUGGUUCUGGGGAUACAGGAUCUGAUAGGGCCCAACCCUCUGAGGGCUUUUCACCUGAAUGAGCAUUCAGCUUCCAUAUCAGGAGGUGACAGAGCAUGCAUGGGGUUAUGUUGGUGGCCCUAAGGUAAGACAUCCUAGAUGUUUGUGAGGCUGCCAGCUAGCCAGGCCAUCUGCUUGAGGAAGAAGUGGUCUUCUCCACUCUACCCUACCACACCUCAUGGCGUGAGGCACAUAUAAACUCUCCCAUCUCCUGACUAGGGAACUCUUCUCCUCAUGGGGUCUGCACAGUCUUGAUGUGAGUCCCCACUUGGUCUGGUCAAGACUGUUAAGCCUGAAGACAACAAAGACGUAUACCCAUUAGUGUCCCAGAGAAUAAAAUUUUGCCCAUGAUUUAGCCUUCUACAGGAUCCAAUUGCCAGCACCACACUGUAUGCCCAGGCAGUCACAGGACCACAUGAUGCUGUCAUUUCAAAGGCAUCUGUGCUGUGCAGUGCUCACCAGCUUCCACAGGUAGCCAGCUCACCAGACUCUUUGACUACAUUCCAGGAAUGAGGCCUUUCCAGUGUGUCCACUAAGGGAAAUGCCAGGGCCUCCCCUCAUCCAAGAAGAUAACAGAUAUGUUAUUCAGCCACAUACAUGCCUGAAGAGGAGGGAAAACCCAUUCAUAGUUGUGGAUAAAUUAUAAAAGAGAUUUUUUACUCAUGGGCAGGCGGUCUUAAGUGACAAGACCCAGUAUAGGAACGCAACCGUUCACUGGUGGGAACAGAAGCCUACAACAUGGGGAAUCGCUCCUCAUGUCAAGAGACUCAAAACAAAAAUAUGUCGAGAAAGAGAGUGCUUACCUUAGAGGACAAAGACAUUAAAGUAGAAGCCAAAUCCUCCAGCUGUCGGGGCUGCCGGCUGUGGUCACGGUACACUGCCAGACUCGCCCAAAGAGUCAAGGUCAAGUGAGUUGGGAAAACCAACUGGCAGACCAGACAGCCAAAUGGGGUGCCCUCUGUGAAGACACAGACCUGCAGUUCCCUCCAUUAUCCUCCAGAAGGUAUGUUUACACUCAGGUGCUCCCAGAUCUCUCCUCAGAUAAGUCAGGGCACAGAGAGAGACAGAGAAAGGGGCUUCAGAAAAUCAGGAGGACUGUCUGAUUACUACAUAUAGGAAAAUAAUAAAUCUAGAGAUGACAGUUCCCAGUCUAGUCCAACAAGCUCACAAAGCAACCCAUCUAGAAAAACUGCCCUGUAAGAAUCGCUGCAAAGAUAUUUCGGCAGUUCUGAGGUGCCGACACUGACCCAACAAACCAGCACAGCAUGUCUACAAUGUGCUCGGAACAAUCCCAGGGAGGGACCCGAGGUUCCCACACUGGCACAAAAAGAAGGGUCCUACCCAUCCGAACAUCUAGAAGUGGACUUUCCUGACCUUCAACCCAGCAAAGGGUACCACUAUGUGCUGUUUAUGGUGUGAACUCUUCAGUGUGGGCGGAAGCUUCUCCUACCUGCACAGAAGAUUAGCGUGAACGAUGCACACAGGGUACCACCCCCCAUCAUCAGGCUGAGUUGUGAGAGUGAACAGAACCUUUAUAACAACACUGGCCAAGCACUGCCAAGUAACAGCCUCCCUUGGCCAGAAAGUCUGCCUCUUGUGCUGUCUAGGGUGCACUGCACACACUGUAAAUGCAGUGACUCUCCUUUUAUGGGCUGCCCACCUCCUCUGCCCUCAAAGGACUCAGGACUUCCAAGAGUACGGACAUGCCUGCCUCCAGCAGUUCUCGGAAGACUUGGCUGACACUGCACAUAAAAAAAAAAUUGCUCAAUCCUCACCACUCCCUCAGCUCUUAAAGCUGCAGGUGUCACCAGUGGUUGUAGGGUACACUGCACCCACACCAAGGCUGCUGUGGACCCCAGCUAGGAGUCAACCACGAGAGUCCCAGACCCAGGCUAGCCUCUGAAAUUGACCAUUUCAAAAAUACUUCAGAAUGGGAACAAUGGUUCAGCUCCUACCCUGCCUCCCGAUGUCCUCCCCAAGUGCGUGGAUGCACACUGGAGCUAGUACCCUGUCACAUAAAUUAGUCUGGAGAGCAACUUUGUUCCAGGGCAACUCCAAUUCCUGGACACCCAUCAAUAUAGCAAACUGCUCCCCAUAGGGGUUCUGCCUUAUCUCCAUCCUUCUUGAGACUAGGCCAGCUCAUCCCUUGGAUCCCAUCAGGUUGUAAUAGGUCCACCCACAGAGGAAAACUGUCAUUCUUCUCAGAGAUGGCCCAAGCUAGUGACAGCCUACGGGCAAGAAAGAGGUCAGAGGACAAAAGAAUGAUUGUGGGGAAACCUUAAAUACUGGUCUACAGGGACUUCACCACAAAAGGGGCCUAGGAGGGAGCUGCCCCAGAGGAACAAGGAGUUUAGACCAUAAUAGGUCUUAAAGGAGAAAAUGUGGGAGGAAUCAUGGGGGAACUGAAAAAACCUUCAUGGGAAGAAGCCAUGACCUUGUGAUGGGCUGGUCUGGCAUAGGGACAAGAGACCCUCAAUGACCCUACAAUUCUACACUGGAAUAACUGCACCAGUUGGCAGAGUUAACGCCCCAAGCCCUUGGGCCCCAGCACAGGACACAGGUAAACAAGACAAAGCCAUCCAGCUGGAUCCUGAUGAUCCCCUUCUAGAAAACGCUGGCUUUAGUAAAUGCCAACCAUGAGCUCCUGAACCCAGGUCAGGACUGUGGGGUUUGCUUACCUGCAAGCUGGGUUACUUAUACUGGAGUAAGAAUGAAUAACCAACACAAAAGGGGAAUGUUUAACUGGGCCACCUAGGUGUUCAGGUCACAGGAAAAGACCAAUGUACAGAAAAUUAAAGCCAGGCAGUGGUGGCACACACCUUUAAUCCCAGCAUCGGGAGGCAGAGGCAACUCGAGACCAGGAUGACCUCAAACUUUCUGUAGUCAUCCUGGUUUACAGGGAGAGUUCCAGGACAGCCAGGGUGAUACAGAGAGACCCUGUCUCGGGGGAAAAAAAUUAAAAGGGCUGUACCAGACUAGUUAAAAGAGCAGUAGAUGCUAAUGGGCCACAUUUCACCUGCUUCAGCAGACAGCUGCAAACUGGUAUUCUUGGGCCCCAAGGUAGAUGUGCUCCCAGGAAGUGAGGUCCAACAAUACUUACAUCCCUUAGAGUCAAGAAAUAAUAAUUUCUUCCAAAAAGAUUUUCAAAUGAGGGAAAAAAAAUCAUCUUUCGUUAUUCAUGAAGCUUUUAGAUCAGGAUUGAUGGAGGCGAUGUGGAAAUAAAAAGAGAGCAGACAGGCAUUUCUAGAAGCAGAAUUGUUCUUUAAUCAGAACAAAUGAAGGCCGCAGUCUCUCUGCAGAAAUGAAACUGUGCACUAUGGCAUGGAGGGACUUGGGGCUUCAUAGGAUGGAAAAGGGGGAACUGUGGGGAUGGAAGAGUCCAUUUGCAGGUCAGUUCCCCUACAGUCUGGAGAUGGUAGAUGCCAGUGGGUUUGGUACAUGGAGGUCCUUAUCAGAGACUUGCAACAUGUCAUCAGUCAUCUUUCCUGUCUGAGUUCCUCAGCCCCCCGGAGGCUUUUGUGCAAGUAACCCUCCAGCCACAAUCCACCAUCUCUGCUACUCUUCCUUUCUCAUCUAGGUCCAGGUUUCCAUCUGAUGAUGUGGACCCACUGGUGGGAUUGGGAUGGCUAGAACUGCUAGAGAUGGGCCAGGUGCCUGUCACUUUCUCUGCACUCGCUUCCUGUGGCUAGCCCGGCUUCCUCACAGCAUGGCCUUGUGCGAACAGUCAAGUUGUCAGCUAGAAGACCCUAGGUGUUUUCUUUUUUUUAAUUGUCUAGCUCUGGAAGCAGGCAACUUCACCUGGUACAUGUUAUAAGUGGAAACGGGAGCUGCAGAGACAGUCCAGCAAGAGCCACACAGAGGUCCGUGCAUCAGGAGUAUGGUUUGUGGUUUACGUGGAAGAGGUGCAUCUUUUAAGAUAAGACACAACAUUCUCCAGGGGCAAUAAGGACUGUAAGGACUCUCAGGGAAGACAUUUCAUGGGCAGGAUGAUGAACUACAAAUAAGGUUUUGAAGAUGGAACCCGAGCCACCCCUAAUGGAAGAAGAAGGCAUUCCAGCGAAAUGAACACACCUUCUUGGUACCAUCUAGAGGUGCAGGAACGGGCUUGGUUUCCUUGAUGAUUAAAGAAUUUGAAGGCAAGAAAAGCUGGCGAGUCGAGCAAAACUGAAGUUUAUUCAAAGGGAAUGCUUUUAUUAGUGAUUAAAGGAAAAAACCCAAGGACGGACAAGCUGUAAAUCUCAGCCGCUGCCUGAUGGUGAAGAACUGAAAGGCGGGAAAAGCUAUGCUGAUUUAGUUAAAUCAGCAUGGAGGUCGGUGGGCUGUAUGACUGACAAGCAGCAGGGCAGGAAAGGAAGCUUCAUAAAAAAGGGAAGAGAGCUCUAAGUACCCCCCAAAAAAGCCCAUGUCAGCCCUGGCCAUCACCAGAGAGAAAGACACAAACAGGAAGAAAUAAAGCAGGCUGGAGAGGUGGCUCAGUGGUCGACAUCAAGUCCUGCUCUUCCAGAGGACUGGAGUUUGGGCACUAACACCCUCAAAGGGUAACUAACAACAACCCCAGCUCUGGGUCUAGGAGGACAUCGCACACCUCUGGCCUCCACAUGUGAACGUCUCUCCCUCCCAUAUACACAUAAUUAAAAACAAAAUUUAGGACCUGGAGAGAUGGAUCAUGGGUUAAGAGCACUGGCUGCUCUUCUGGAUAACAUGGGUUUAAUUCCUAGCACUCACAGGAUGGCUCAUAAUUACUUAUCCCUCCAAUCCCAGGGACCUAACAUCCUCUUCUGGCUUCCUCAGGCAUGCAAAAGGUACAUAGACAUACAGGCAGACAAAAUACCCAUUCAGAUUUUUUUUUUAAGAAGAAGAAGAAAGGAGACUCUGCCAGCUGCCAUGAGUACCAACAUGUAAGAUACUGGUCUGGGAGGGUCUCCAUGUGGUGAAGACAGGCUGAAUGAUGCCGGGAGAGACCAAUCCAGCUGAUUCAAAGCCAGGCACCAUUCAAGGGGAUUUUUGCAUUCAAGUUGGCAGGAACAUCAUUCAUGGCAGUGAUCCAGUGCAAAGUGCACAGAAGGAGAUCAGUCUGUGGUUUAAGCCUGAAGAACUGGUUGACUAUAAGUCUUGUGCUCACACCUGGAUGUAUGAGUAGAAGUGGAUCACUGGGUCCUUUCCAGCUACUGAUGGAUCCCUGGACAUAGCUCUUUAUUCCACAGAAUGAAUGGAUCAUCUUUUCUAAAACAAUAAAGACUUUGGAACUGGAA